AUCGGGGUUGCGGACAGUGCCUGGUGGGUAGUUUGACUGGGGCGGUCUCCUCCCAAAGCGUAACGGAGGAGCACGAAGGUGGGCUAAUCACGGUUGGACAUCGUGAGGUUAGUGCAAUGGCAUAAGCCCGCUUGACUGCGAGAAUGACAAUUCGAGCAGGUGCGAAAGCAGGUCAUAGUGAUCCGGUGGUUCUGAAUGGAAGGGCCAUCGCUCAACGGAUAAAAGGUACUCCGGGGAUAACAGGCUGAUACCGCCCAAGAGUUCAUAUCGACGGCGGUGUUUGGCACCUCGAUGUCGGCUCAUCACAUCCUGGGGCUGAAGUCGGUCCCAAGGGUAUGGCUGUUCGCCAUUUAAAGUGGUACGCGAGCUGGGUUUAGAACGUCGUGAGACAGUUCGGUCCCUAUCUGCCGUGGGCGUUGGAGAAUUGAAAGGGGCUGCUCCUAGUACGAGAGGACCGGAGUGGACGAACCUCUGGUGUUCGGGUUGUGUCGCCAGACGCAUUGCCCGGUAGCUAAGUUCGGGAUCGAUAACCGCUGAAAGCAUCUAAGCGGGAAGCGAGCCUUGAGAUGAGUUCUCCCUGAUACUUUAAGUAUCCUAAAGGGUUGUCGUAGACUACGACGUUGAUAGGCAGGGUGUGUAAGCGUUGUGAGGACU
rnacentral:rRNA from 1 species